CAGCUCCUUCAGCCUCUCCUCAUAUGGCCUGUGUUCCAGACCCCUCACCAGCUUUGUUGCCCUUCUUUGAACACGUCCUGCCUUUUUACUGGGCUGCACCAGGGUAUCUUCACUUCUCUGCUGCUUUCCUUCAAUUCACCCCCAUUCAAUGAACCCCAUUCACCCCAUUGGUCAGUCCCACGUUUCCUACAAUUUGGAUCUGGGAGGUGACCGCUCCUUUGCCUAUGAUGAAAGCACAGCGGUGAUGCAGGCGCUUGCUGAGCUCACAGUGGUUGCCAGGCUGUUUGUGGCCCAGCUGGAGCAGAGCUGGUGCUCUGGUGAGCGUGGUGCACACGGAGACUGAGCUCUGUGCUUUUCUGGAGAGAAAUCCUCCUUUCGAGCCCACUGGGAGCAGCGCUGCGGCGUGUGCGUCAGCUGGGCACCGCUCCGGCUGGGCAGUGACCAGGGGAAAUGGUUCUUGUUCGGAUUCCACCCCACGUUUCAGUGAGGAUGAUGAGAGGUCCUUCCUCCCCUGGAAAAUUGCUGCCGCCCCCCCCUUCAUGUCAGACCUUCAAAAGGAAGCAGAGCGCAGACUUCAUCGGGUGCAACUUGUGCCUCCCUGCUCCGUGGGUUGCUUGGUGUGCCAUACCCAGCAGGUUCCACUCCAAAAGGAGAACUCAGGAAUCCAGGCAGCUGAAGAUCGCGGCGCUGCAGGCGAUGUCAAGGACAAAACCUGUGCGUCUGUGGAACGGUGCGGGGCAGGGGGGGAAACGGAAAGCCUCCGCAG